UACAUUUUGAAGAGGCCCGUCCAAUUCAGCGCCGUUACUUGGCCAGAAAUCGUCGAGUCGCACUCAACUCAUCUCGCCGGUAAACUCAGCCGGACUUGGUCAUCAGCAGCCAGAAACAGUAACCAAACUCUUCACAUGUUUUCCUUCCCCUCACCUCUCCUGUAUCGGACGCAAGGAUCAAAAGCAUUGAUAUAUUAUUACAGUCGGUGUCAUUGCUGUGUGACCAAUGUAUAAUGGAUAUUCCUGUUGUUGAAUCACUCUCUUGCAAAAGCAAGAGGUCAUUCAUCCAUGAUUUAUCUAGAGCUUGACAUGUGGAAAGCUAAAUAGGACGUCGUUUGGAGGAGAAAGGUGUUGAGGGAUGGCCGAUUAUAAUUCUUUCGUUCUCUGGGAGGAAGUAAAAGGGGAUUGCACCUUCAAUGCAUGAAAAUGCCGCUUUUUUGUCAAGAAAAAGGAAUAGUUUUUUAUGACGAUGGAGGGUAUGCGGCGUAGCGAUGGUGGGUAGAAUAGAAUGGAAAGUUGAAUGCAGUAACGUAGGUUUCAAAAAAGUGAUACAGUGGAAUCUAAACUUUAUUUUUAUGCAGUUUGCAAGUGGUAGAAACCGGAUCUAGCAACACAAACAUUAACAUCAGACUGUUUUCCAUGAUUCCAUCUUUCAUUCUUCACAAGCAUGAACAUUAGACUUGUGCCACUUUUCCUUUUCGCAUCUAGGGGAUUCUAUCUACAAAUCUCAAAUUUUGAUCUUCCUUUUUCUUGGACGCUCCCAGACCUUCUUGGGGAUUUCCACCACUUCUUUGCUAAAUUUUCCAUGGAUGCACUCCUAUUAUAUGCUUUAUGUGAACGUGUUUAGUGGGGUGUAAUAUUUAAAUUUAUAUAUUUAUAAGGGUAUAUAUUCAUCUUAUUGACUACUAGCCAUUAUUUGUAGUAAUUUCUCAGGUAUUUGUGCUUAUAUAUAUUGUAAUAUUUUUGUUUACUUAAAAAUAAUAUGCAUCAUUAUCAAUAGUUAGUUUAGUCAACGUUGGAUUUGGUAGGGAGGAUCACAGUUCAAUCCUCCACAACUCCAAUCAGUUAGAGAGGACUACAAUUCAAUCCUCCGCAACCCUAAUCAAGAAGAGGACUAAAAUUACUUGAUGUCAGAAUUGACCCCCAAACUAGACUAUAGUAAUUAAUGGUAGCUAUUGUCUUAUUUUAAUUAGUUAUUUUUGUAAAUAGAUAUC